UACAGAGGGUGCGAGCGUUGUUCGGAAUUAUUGGGCGUAAAGCGCUGGUAGGUGGCUUGUUAAGUCGCGUGUGAAAUCUCCAGGCUCAACCUGGAAAGUGCGCGCGAAACUGGCGGGCUUGAGUGCCGGAGAGGGUCGCGGAAUUCCCAGUGUAGAGGUGAAAUUCGUAGAGAUGCGGAGGAACACCGAUGGCGAAGGCAGCCCCCUGGGCCAACACUGACGCUCAGGCACGAAAGCGUGGGGAGCAAACAGG
rnacentral:rRNA from 1 species